ensembl:snRNA U6 U6 spliceosomal RNA
ACACUAGUUUCGGCAGCACAUAUACGAAAACUGACACAGUACAAAGAUUAGCACGGCCUCUGCCCAAGGAUGAUGGGCAAAUUCAUGAAGCAUCCCAUAUUUUU